rnacentral:rRNA from 1 species
UACGUAGGGUGCAAGCGUUAAUCGGAAUUACUGGGCGUAAAGCGUGCGCAGGCGGUGAUGUAAGUCAGAUGUGAAAUCCCCGGGCUCAACCUGGGAACUGCAUUUGUGACUGCCUCGCUGGAGUGCGGCAGAGGGGGAUGGAAUUCCGCGUGUAGCAGUGAAAUGCGUAGAUAUGCGGAGGAACACCGAUGGCGAAGGCAAUCCCCUGGGCCUGCACUGACGCUCAUGCACGAAAGCGUGGGGAGCAAACAGG